rnacentral:lncRNA from 1 species
AUGGUGAAAGAUCUUCCAGUCCGCUGCUGCUGCGUUACGCCAGCCAGAACUCACUUGACGAGAGUUCACAAAAGCAAAUUCCACGUAAUGGCUCCAAGGAUAAGCCUCCUACAUGAGUCGAGAUCAUACUCAAAAAGCUUUGAAGUGAUGAAUAACAUGAGAAAGUAAGAUUGCAUUUUUUCUGAGGUUUAAAGCAAAGUUUUUAUAAUUUAUUGAAGAGGGUAUUCCGAGGGUACAGAUUGCGAAAACUGUUAAGCAUAGUAUAGUCUCAAGAAAAUUUUUAAAAAGUGACUAUCAUUUGAAUCACUAAAUACAAAAAGGGCACAUGUCCAGAAAACCAAAUUAUUCAG